AGACCCGAAACCCGGUGAUCUAGCCAUGGGCAGGUUGAAGGUUGGGUAACACUAACUGGAGGACCGAACCGACUAAUGUUGAAAAAUUAGCGGAUGACCUGUGGCUGGGGGUGAAAGGCCAAUCAAACCGGGAGAUAGCUGGUUCUCCCCGAAAGCUAUUUAGGUAGCGCCUCGUGAAUUCAUCUCCGGGGGUAGAGCACUGUUUCGGCUAGGGGGCCAUCCCGGCUUACCAACCCGAUGCAAACUGCGAAUACCGGAGAAUGUUAUCACGGGAGACACACGGCGGGUGCUAACGUCCGUCGUGAAGAGGGAAACAACCCAGACCGCCAGCUAAGGUCCCAAAGUCAUGGUUAAGUGGGAAACGAUGUGGGAAGGCCCAGACAGCCAGGAUGUUGGCUUAGAAGCAGCCAUCAUUUAAAGAAAGCGUAAUAGCUCACUGGUCGAGUCGGCCUGCGCGGAAGAUGUAACGGGGCUAAACCAUGCACCGAAGCUGCGGCAGCGACACUCAGGUGUUGUUGGGUAGGGGAGCGUUCUGUAAGCC
rnacentral:rRNA from 2 species